rnacentral:lncRNA from 1 species
AUAUUAUAGUAUUAAUGAAUGGGUGUUUUUAUAAUGGCCCUGUUAUAUGUCCAAGGUCUGUUAUAAUGGUCGAGGAAGUCUGUAAUGGCCCGAGGCAACGCCGAGGGCCAUUACAGACAUCCGAGGCCAUUAUUACUGACCGAGGACAUAUAACAGAGCCAUUAUAAAAACACCCAUUUCUUAAUACAUUUAUUAACCAACUGAAUAAAAGUGUAUGUGUUAAUAUACCAAAUAUCCAAGAUAUUAAGUUGACAGAAGUUAUGUGUUGAAAAACAGGAGAAACAGUGAUCCCUAUAUAUGGUUCUUUAAUGUUAGUUGCUGGUUACUAAAUUAAAUAAAAUACAAAAAAGUAUUAUACUCUUUACAACUUAAUUUUGUUAACUUUAUUAAAAACCCUAACUGUGCUUUAUACAGACAAACCGGCAUUAAUACAGGGCCAUUACAGAAAAACGGGGCCAUUACAGAAAAACAGGGCCAUUACAGAAAAAAACAGGGCCAUUACAGAAAAACAGGGCCAUUACAGAAAAACAGGGCCAUUACAGAAAAAAACAGGGCCAUUACAGAAAAACAGGGCCAUUACAGAAAAAACAGGGCCAUUACAGAAAAACAGGCCAUUUACAGAAAAAAACAGGGCCAUUACAGAAAAUAUGUUAUUUUUAAUAACCAGUCAUUUUUGGCAAUAAUGUACUUAGUUGGUUAAUAAACAGCUUUAAAA